UUUUCCUUCUCAGGUUUGAACCAACCUUGCUACAGGAGUUGGAUGAACCAUUAGCUUGCUGACACACAUUGGUCCACAUUGUUAAGAUUUAGGAGUGUAGACCGGCACCGGCUCAUCGUGUGGAGAAUAAUGAAAAGAUGUCAGAACCACUUCAGGCUCUAAUUGGAGCCGAUUAGCAAUGGAGGAGCAGCUGGGCCGGAGUCACAGGGAGGCCGGAGUCACAGGGAGCGCUGAUGAGGUUGUCCUGUGCUGACUGGGAGUGGCAAGCUUCAUUUGUCGAGUGUGUUUCCAUUUAGUGGCUACGAGAUGAAUCCCAGGACCCACUGUUUAUUUUUUGACCGCCUGCUCCCACCCAGUUCAAAGUCAAAACCACCCG